rnacentral:rRNA from 1 species
AUUGAACGCUGGCGGCAUGCCUUACACAUGCAAGUCGAACGGUAACGCGGGGCAACCUGGCGACGAGUGGCGAACGGGUGAGUAAUGUAUCGGAACGUGCCCAGUUGUGGGGGAUAACUGCUCGAAAGAGCAGCUAAUACCGCAUACGACCUGAGGGUGAAAGCGGGGGAUCGCAAGACCUCGCGCAAUUGGAGCGGCCGAUAUCAGAUUAGGUAGUUGGUGGGGUAAAGGCCCACCAAGCCAACGAUCUGUAGCUGGUCUGAGAGGACGACCAGCCACACUGGGACUGAGACACGGCCCAGACUCCUACGGAGGCAGCAGUGGGGAAUUUUGGACAAUGGACGCAAGUCUGAUCCAGCCAUGCCGCGUGCGGGAAGAAGGCCUUCGGGUUGUAAAUCGCUUUUGUCAGGGAAGAAACGCUCUGGGUUAAUACCUCGGGGUAAUGACGGUACCUGAAGAAUAAGCACCGGCUAACUACGUGCCAGCCGCCGCAGUAACAC